CCUCCUAGGACAGACAUGAACCAAGCUGUUGUUAAUGUGUUGUUAUAAUUUGUUUGUUUUGUUAAUGUUUUACUAUAAGAACACAUUCCUGAGGGAAGAGCAAGUGAGAAAACCUAAACUGGGUCACAUUUUUGGUAGAGGGAGCUCUGCAGAAGUCAGAGAUAAGACCUUGGAGUUAAGUCUUACAGCAAGUGUUCUAUAGGAUAUCAGUUAUUAGGUGUGAUUUACAGGUUAUUAUUUACCCAUUAAAUAAAUAUGAAAGUCUUAGCAUGUUCCCAAGCACUCAUGACUCCCAAAACUGAACCUUUAUUUAAAAAUUACAUUUAAUCUUUUUAACUUUUGAAAGAAACUAUGUGACUGAAUACAGUGAUUGGUCUAUGUACAGCCAUAAGAAACACAUGGAAAAGCAAUUCCCCAUUAUAUCACUUUUACCUUUAAGACUGCACUUCUUUUGGAAUUUCUUUCUUACACAAAGCUACAGAGCUGAAGAACCAAGGGCUACUGGAACAGUACUGAUAGAGCAUUUCUGAUCCAAAUUGAUUCGCAGAAACAACUCUGACUAAUCAGAAGCAUGUAACCUGCUUCAAAAUGAGCAGAAUCAGUCACCCAACUGACAAUAAAAGACAAUGAACUGAUGACAAGCAA